UAUAAACGCACCUUAUAACUUAUA
rnacentral:siRNA from 1 species